CAUCCUAUUGGAACAUCAAUGCAGGGUCUGAGGCCUAGAGCGGCCGUCCAGCUGUUCAACCUGCCGCAGGGCCGAUCUUGAGUGUAGCAUAAGAAAGUGGGUCACUACUAGCAAAUCCAAAUAAAACAACGGCAAGUGUCAUACACCAAAUUACUUUUGAACAAAUUAUGAAAAGGAAUCUACCACCGCAAGAUUACAAGUAUCAUACACUAGAUUACACUGUCAUACACUAGAUUACAUCAUCAUAACGAAGUAAUUAACCACCACUAUAUCAUUACAAUAAACCAUUUAGAAUCUCUAUAGCCACAAA
rnacentral:lncRNA from 1 species